AAAUAGUCAUUUAGGAUCUAAUAGUGUGUAUGUUUGCAGUUCAAAUAUAGCUCAAUUAUUUCACCGACAUUUCAUUUAACAAACAAAAAACAAUAAUGCUGUAAGUUGUAAUUAAUAAAAUUAUUUUGUUGAUUUGAUAAUAUUUUAAAGAUCAAUAUUUUCUAAAUAAAGUUUUGAAGAUUUGUGAGGUUAAAUCUUAUAACAAAUAUAGCCAAAUUAUCCACAAUAAUUAUAGCAUAGAUAUGAAAAGCACAAAUUUAAACAUUAUCAGAAGAAAGUAAGAAAAUUAUCAUUAUUAAUAUUAUUCUAUAUAAAUAUUAGGAAUAUAUAAAUAUCUCUUAUAU
rnacentral:lncRNA from 1 species